CAUCGCAAACACCUCAGUGCCAUGACUUCCUAGGAAGUAACGCUUACUUCAGGCUGUUGCUCGAUAACUCUGUUACUCAAGCUGUCCAGUUAGAAAUGAAGCUGUUGAUACUUUGCUUCGUGUUGUGUAUGUUUCUCUCGACAAUGGCAGAUCUCAGCCACGAGCGACACCAGAGAGCUCUUUGCAUGCUGAGGAUGGGCAGAGAUAUAGACAUGCUGAGGAUGGACAGGGGCAUGCGGGAGCUUGGAACUGACUCGGUGAGAAAAGACGAGUACUAUACCAAGGACCGGCGAAGAAGUUUCAGCUGCCAAGGCAAGCAACCGCGUGAGGAAUGUGGCCCGUGCAUGAAGUGCUGGAACAUCGGUAACGGCAUCGAGUGCGUCGAUGUUAGCAAGGUUCCUUCGCCUUAGGAUUUGUUGCCCCGGGAAAACAGUUCAAACAUGGCUGUGAUGUUUAUCAAAACAAUAAAAAAGGAAGAACUUUAAUAAACUUUCUUGCUUCUGUCCGUAGGAAACUUAUAAAACA